rnacentral:rRNA from 1 species
UACGUAGGGUGCGAGCGUUAAUCGGAAUUACUGGGCGUAAAGCGUGCUCAGGCGGUCUGUUAAGACCGAUGUGAAAUCCCCGGGCUUAACCUGGGAACUGCAUUGGUGACUGGCAGGCUUUGAGUGUGGCAGAGGGAGGUAGAAUUCCACGUGUAGCAGUGAAAUGCGUAGAGAUGUGGAGGAAUACCGAUGGCGAAGGCAGCCUCCUGGGCCAACACUGACGCUCAUGCACGAAAGCGUGGGGAGCAAACAGG